ACUCUCAGACAUGCUGUAAUAUGUAAUGCUUUCUCAUCUGAUAGACAAUCUAUAAUGCUUUACCAUCUGAUUGUAAUUGACUUCAUUUCGAAGAAACCAUUGCUUUCUCGUCUCUUGCAGCAGAAAACUAGGAAAACCGAAUCUGCUUCAAAACAUUUUCUCAGACUGGAAAAAAACCAGUUUCAUCAGCUGAAGGGGGAAGCAGUCACAAGGAGAAGGAAAGCCAGCUCAAAAGUGCUUGAAAUGCAAUCAUAGCAACUUGGCUUGUUAAGUUGCUAGAGAAAAAACAAGGACGCACACACAAGCUAUAUAAGAGAUUCGAUAGAAGUCAUGGAUGAUUGUUCAUGGAUGUAUCGAGAUUCACCCCAAAGAUUGCGGAGGAUGGAUUAUUGUUUCAAUCACGCGGCAACUAGGUUGCGUGAUUUUUGGUAUGAAUCACAAAAAAAGGCAAAAAAAAAACACAAGAGAUAGGGGUCUCCAAGGCUGGAAUGACGUGGCGGUUUGGAGGGAUUUCAAACCGAUAUACAUCCUGAAAGAUAUAUGGCCGCACUAUCUUGAGCACGUGAUGUCUGAGCGGUUCACACGACGCUCACAGUCUGGUGCUGACAACUGGAAUCGGCCAAUUCAUGGCUCGGUGACAACGCACACCGGCGGCUCCGUUCCGUUUGCUGCACAUGCGAAACGGAUAGUAAGAUUAAUUUAAAUGAAAUAUAUUGUUAGAUUAAUUUGUUGUUAAUUAAUCUUUUUUCAUUAUAGGCUACGUCUCUUGGACGUGAGCCGAGCCUGAUAGAGCUGUUUGUGGAGACGCACGUGCGGAGUCAAGACCGCCAAAAAGGGGCACAAUAGUUCGUUGACAACCGUGCUCAACACUUCGUGGAGACCUAUAAUAGCCGGUUGAGGGAGAGAUAUGGGGACGAUCCUUUGACCCAUCCAGAAUUCGAUCCGGAUUUGUGGAUGGAGGUUGGAUCGUCUGGUGGACCCGAUAAAAAUCGAGUUUACGGGCUCUCCAAUACUACGGCCGAGAACUUGCGAGUGACCCGUAGUGUUUCAACCGUUGGGAGCUCCCAAUCAGUAUCGAGCACCCAAUCUAAGGAGUUCGUGGCCUUGCAGCAACACACGGCUCAGCUUACCGAAAAAUACGACCACCUAUCAGCGGCGUAUGCACAACUCAAAGCGGAUAAUGCACAAAAAAAAGCGGAGCAUAACCAGCUUCGCGAAUUUGUUAUGAACAUGGCAUCACAGAGUGGUGAUACAUGUGCGCCUCUUUCUUUUUGGCCGUAUAACAACCAGCCUCCUCCUCCUCCUCCAGCUCCACCAUUAUGUUAAUUUGUAAUGAAUAUUAUUUAACUUUAAUAGUUAAUUUAACAUUUUUUUUAAACACAUUCAGUUUGUAAUGAAUAUUAUUUAAUUUUAUUUCUUUUGUUUUUAAUGUUUAAUAAAAAAUUUAUUUGCAUUA